CCAACCUGGGCAAAUUAAUAAAACUUUUAAAAGUGCCAGGAGUUGUCCAGGUGGCAUAGGGGAGCAUAGGACUCUGCCCCGUGAUGUACAGUCGCUUUCUACGACGUUGGAGAAGAAGCUGGGCCUUGUGUCUGCGCCUGCAUAUUCCUACAACUUCUCAGAGUCCUUUGGGCAGUGACUGGGGAGAUAAACCAUGCAGGAAACAAUG
ensembl:snoRNA SNORA73 Small nucleolar RNA SNORA73 family